AUGGGGCGGACGGGACGGCACAGGGAUGGAAACAUGAUGGAUGGUGUAGGGCUUGCGUCACGACGGCAGGCCAGGAGGCUGGCUGCAGUGCGCGGUGCAGGGCGGCAGGGCCCCGCGCAGCGUCAAAUCGCGCGGCGGCUGAGGAGGAGGCGGAGCCACCGCACGAGGGUCCGUGUGGGAGAGACAGUGGCCAGGCUCAAGCUGCGAGCGUGCCCAUCCCAGCCUCCUACCCUGCCGCUCCGUAUAAGAGCUCUUCAAAGAAACUCCACCGCACUCGCGAAGAGAGAGAGAGACGUCAUACAAAUGCUGACGGAGAUGAGAAGGCAGCGGAGCAGCAGCUGUGGAGGCGGAGGCGCGGCGCAGAGGGGAGAACAGUGGCGCACCUGUGGAGGCGGAGGCAGCAGCAGGCGUGCCUGGCUCCCCGGCCGCCUCGACGUCGUCCACCCGUCCCCCAGGAACUUCGUCUACUUUCCAUCCAGGCUGCAGGAGUUCCUCGCGCAGCCGCUGCCGGCCGCGAGGGACGCCGCCCCGUCCCUACCGUCCACUAGCAUGACUAGUUAA
rnacentral:rRNA from 1 species